UAGUCCACGCCGUAAACGAUGUCUACUAGCCGUUGGGAGACUUGAUUUCUUAGUGGCGCAGCUAACGCACUAAGUAGACCGCCUGGGGAGUACGGCCGCAAGGUUAAAACUCAAAUGAAUUGACGGGGGCCCGCACAAGCGGUGGAGCAUGUGGUUUAAUUCGAUGCAACGCGAAGAACCUUACCAGGUCUUGACAUCCUGCGAAUUUUCUAGAGAUAGAUUAGUGCCUUCGGGAACGCAGUGACAGGUGCUGCAUGGCUGUCGUCAGCUCGUGUCGUGAGAUGUUGGGUUAAGUCCCGUAACGAGCGCAACCCUUGUCCUUAGUUGCCAGCACAUUUAUGGUGGGAACUCUAAGGAGACUGCCGGUGUAAACCGUGAGGAAGGUGGGGAUGACGUCAAGUCAGCAUAGCCUUUAUGUCCAGGGCUACACACGUGCUACAAUGGGUGGUACAGAGGAAGCUAAGCCGCGAGGUGGAGCGGAUCCUUAAAACCAUCCCCAGUUCCGGAGUUG
rnacentral:rRNA from 1 species